rnacentral:pre_miRNA from 1 species
UGGAAGACUGGUGAUUUUGUUGUUGUGUUGGGAAACAACAGACCGCAGUCUUCCACU